GACGAACGCUGGCGGCGUGCCUAAUACAUGCAAGUAGAACGCUGAAGGAGGAGCUUGCUUCUCCGGAUGAGUUGCGAACGGGUGAGUAACGCGUAGGUAACCUGCCUGGUACGCGGGGGAUAACUAUUGGAAACGAUAGCUAAUACCGCAUAAGAGUAGAUGUUGCAUGACAUUUGCUUAAAAGGUGCAAUUGCAUCACUACCAGAUGGACCUGCGUUGUAUUAGCUAGUUGGUGGGGUAACGGCUCACCAAGGCGACGAUACAUAGCCGACCUGAGAGGGUGAUCGGCCACACUGGGACUGAGACACGGCCCAGACUCCUACGGGAGGCAGCAGUAGGGAAUCUUCGGCAAUGGACGGAAGUCUGACCGAGCAACGCCGCGUGAGUGAAGAAGGUUUUCGGAUCGUAAAGCUCUGUUGUAAGAGAAGAACGAGUGUGGGAGUGGAAAGUU
rnacentral:rRNA from 1 species